rnacentral:misc_RNA from 1 species
UUUUUUUUUAUCCUCCCCUUAUCUUUGCCUGCACCGCACCUCCCCAUCUAACAUCUGCUGCAUAUAUACAUGAGAUUUCAGUUGGCUCUUGUAUAAGGUAUGUACAAAAUCCUAUUUCUGUCAUUCACCAGCACUGCUACAAAUCUGCAGUUAUCUCACCAGACUAUUUCUCUGAUGGAUAACUAGUCAUCAUAUCCUGUGAUAUGCAUCUUGUAUUUGACUUUUAUUGCCAUAAAAUCUUCCAACCUAGAUCAUAAAUUUAACUCACCCGGUGAAGAUGUUCUUAUUGAUUCCAUGACCUCAGGUACGGUUUCCCCACCGGAUCAUGU